ACGGGUGAGUAAUGCUUGGGAAUCUGGCUUAUGGAGGGGGAUAACUACGGGAAACUGUAGCUAAUACCGCGUAGUAUCGGAAGAUGAAAGUGCGGGACCGUAAGGCCGCAUGCCAUGAGAUGAGCCCAAGUGGGAUUAGGUAGUUGGUGGGGUAAAGGCCUACCAAGCCUGCGAUCUCUAGCUGGUCUGAGAGGAUGGCCAGCCACACUGGAACUGAGACACGGUCCAGACUCCUACGGGAGGCAGCAGUGGGGAAUAUUGCGCAAUGGGGGGAACCCUGACGCAGCCAUGCCACGUGGAUGAAGAAGGCCUUCGGGUUGUAAAGUUCUUUCAGUGACGAGGAAGGUUGAUAGGUUAAUAGUCUAUCAAAUUGACGUUAAUCACAGAAGAAGCACCGGCUAACUCCGUGCCAGCAGCCGCGGUAAUACGGGGGGUGCGAGCGUUAAUCGGAAUAACUGGGCGUAAAGGGCACGCAGGCGGUGACUUAAGUGAGAUGUGAAAGCCCCGAGCUUAACUUGGGAAUUGCAUUUCAUACUGGGUCGCUAGAGUACUUUAGGGAGGGGUAGAAUUCCACGUGUAGCGGUGAAAUGCGUAGAGAUGUGGAGGAAUACCGAAAGGCGAAAGCAGCCCCUUGGGAAUGUACUGACGCUCAUGUGCGAAAGCGUGGGGAGCAAACAGGAUUAGAUACCCUGGUAGUCCACGCUGUAAACG
rnacentral:rRNA from 1 species